GACGAACGCUGGCGGCGUGCUUAACACAUGCAAGUCGAACGGAAAGGCCUGCUUUCCCUUGUGGAUUGCGGGUACUCGAGUGGCGAACGGGUGAGUAACACGUGAGUGAUCUGCCCCCAACUUGGGUAUAAGCCUGGGAAACUGGGUCUAAUUCCCGAUAGGACUGCAGGGUGGUGCCUGUGGUGGAAAACGAUUUUCUAGUGGUUGGGGAUGAGCUCGCGGCCUAUCAGCUUGUUGGUGGGGUAAUGGCCUACCAAGGCGGCGACGGGUAGCCGGCCUGGGAGGGUGGACGGCCACAUUGGGACUGAGAUUCGGCCCAGACUCCUACGGGAGGCAGCAGUGGGGAAUAUUGCACAAGGGGCGGAAGCCUGAGGCAGCGACGCCGCGUGGGGGAUGACGGCCUUCGGGUUGUAAACUCCUUUCGACCGCGAGGAAGCCACCUGGUUGGAAGGGUGGUGACGGUAGUGGUAGAAGAAGCACCGGCUAACUACGG
rnacentral:rRNA from 1 species